UUGAUCCUGGCUCAGAAUCAACGCUGGCGGCGUGCCUAACACAUGCAAGUCGAACGCGAAAGCCCCGAAAGGGGCAAGUAGAGUGGCAAACGGGUGAGUUACACGUGGGUGACCUGCCUUCGAGCGGGGGAUAACGUCCCGAAAGGGACUCUAAUACCGCAUGACAUCCUGCCUUUGAAGUGGCGGUGAUCAAAGCCGGUGAUCGCAAGACCUGGCACUCGAAGAGGGGCCCGCGCCUGAUUAGCUAGUUGGUGGGGUAAUGGCUCACCAAGGCAACGAUCAGUAGCCGGCCUGAGAGGUCGGACGGCCACACUGGGACUGAGACACGGCCCAGACUCCUACGGGAGGCUGCAGUGGGGAAUUGUUCGCAAUGGGCGCAAGCCUGACGACGCAACGCCGUGUGGAGGACGAAGACCUUCGGGUCGUAAACUCCUUUCGAUCGAGACGAAUGGCCUUUGGGUGAAUAGCCCGGAGGAGUGACGGUACCGAGAGAAGAAGCUCCGGCUAACUCCGUGCCAGCAGCCGCGGUAAUAAGGU
rnacentral:rRNA from 1 species